rnacentral:lncRNA from 1 species
UCUGCAUCGUUGCUGCAAGAGGUUCCAGCCUCAGGUCCGGCGGCAGCGACCCUGCCACAAAACCCUAAGGUCUGCUACACAAGCCCAGCCCGAUGGAGCGGCCGGUCUUAACCACACCACUCUUGGCGUCCUCUUCUUCUCCCUCACUGGCUUCCUCCUGUACCGCGCUCUUCUCAGUGAAAUCCCAAGUCUGCAUCCUCCGCCUCCCCAAUCUACACCAACCUGUGGCAGCAAGGUGAGGUCCCAGUCUGUGCGGUUUUUGUCUUCAGCUCUUGCUGUCGAUGGAUAGCACGUUGUGUUUAUGGUGCAUGUAUAUGCACAUAUAAGGAUGGAUAUGAAUAUUUAUGGAAAAAACUCCUAAUUUGAUUUGUGUUGGAAAUUGAUUGCAGCAACUUGUCAAGUACUCCCUCCGUCCCAUAUUAAGUGACUCAAAUUUACCCAAAUAUUAAUGUAUCUAUACCUACAAAACGUCUAAAUACAUGUAAUAGAAAGUCACUUAAUAUGGGACGGAGAGAGUAAUAGUCUAGGCCAAGAGGAAAUCUAAUCUUGCACAUUGGUUGUUAGAUUCCAACUUGUCUCGCUUUCGUAUAUGUUCCAAAAGAUGUAUGUAUAGUCCGAACAGGACAAGCACGCAUACAGUUCAAAAUGAUACUCUCCAAGGACAGCUAAUAUAGGCACUGAAGGAUGGACAAACAGGUUGCUCUAUUAUCAUGUACCCAUUCAACUAAUCUAAUUAUACAUAUGGCUACAUUAUUUUAUGAGCAAUGGUUUCAAAGUAAAAUUUCGCUUGACUGCUAGGUCACGUUGUUGUGUAUUAGAUACAUUAAGAGUGAAUCUCCUUAACACUAACGGUCGGAUAUUUAAGGUAAAAUUUCCAUAUUUCAGUUUUAUUAAAAUAUCCAUAAAUAAUGCCCAAACAAAUCAUGUGUUUGUGUCCGUUAAGAUAGAGAACGGUCACAACUACUAUUUUCGUAAGCGUUGAUAGUUGUAUGACAAAAACAUGCAUGGGAAAAAUUCUGCUUUUCUAUUGAAUAAGAUACCAAUUUUGUAGGUCUAGGUAUCUUCCACUCUUUAGCUACCAUUCCAUAUGUAUUGACCGAAGUUGAUACGAUCUGUUUGCUUAUCUUGCUUGCUUAAUUUUGCUUUAUACUUUCAUCAAGAAUUUCACUUAAUAUAGUUUCCAAGGAUGAUAUGCUGUUCACUCAUUUUUCUACUCCCUCCGAUCCAUAAAAAGUGUCUUCCAGUUAGUACUAACUUACUUAAAAUGGGCGAUACUUUUUAUGGGUCGGAGGGAGUAAUAUAUAUUCAGCUUGUACCUUCUUGUUUAUUGCUUGAUUCAUUGCAUACUGCUCAAUGUAGAUGACACCGCAGAGCCAUACCAUCUCCUUCUGACCCCCACACUCUCUAGGCGACUGAAUUAACGCUCGUCCAGGAUCAUGGUUGAUUAUCGAGUAGUUUUUUUGAGCUACAAAUGUCUCUGUUGCUUCAACGGUGUUCGGUCUCCUCAUCUUUGGUACGUAAUGAACAACAAAUUAUUCAUUAGCUGGUCAUUCUGUUGUAGAAAUCGUAUGCAAUGUCGUGUAUAAACCAGGGUACUUUUCUUGAGCUCCCAG